rnacentral:rRNA from 1 species
UACGUAGGGGGCAAGCGUUGUCCGGAUUUACUGGGCGUAAAGAGCGUGUAGGCGGCCAAGCAGGUCCGUUGUGAAAACUGGAGGCUUAACCUCCAGACGUCGACGGAAACCGCGUGGCUAGAGUCCGGAAGAGGAGAGUGGAAUUCCUGGUGUAGCGGUGAAAUGCGCAGAUAUCAGGAAGAACACCAAUGGCGAAGGCAGGUCUCUGGGCAGCAACUGACGCUGAGGAGCGAAAGCAUGGGGAGCGAACAGG